rnacentral:rRNA from 1 species
UGAGGAAUAUUGGUCAAUGGUCGAGAGACUGAACCAGCCAAGUCGCGUGAAGGAUGACUGCCCUAUGGGUUGUAAACUUCUUUUACAAGGGAAUAAAAUGAGAUACGUGUAUUUUAUUGCAUGUACCUUGUGAAUAAGCAUCGGCUAACUCCGUGCCAGCAGCCGCGGUAAUACGGAGGAUGCGAGCGUUAUCCGGAUUUAUUGGGUUUAAAGGGUGCGUAGGUGGGCUGUUAAGUCAGCGGUGAAAGUUUGUCGCUUAACGAUAAAAUUGCCGUUGAAACUGGUAGUCUUGAGUAUAGAUGAAGUAGGCGGAAUGCGUGGUGUAGCGGUGAAAUGCAUAGAGAUCACGCAGAACUCCGAUUGCGCAGGCAGCUUACUAAGGUAUAACUGACACUGAAGCACGAAAGCGUGGGUAUCAAACAGG